GGAAAUAAUCUGUUAUGCUUGGCUCAAGAAGAGAGACCCUGGCACUCAGCUUCUCUCUGAGAGUGAGCAGGGCUAAUCUUGAGCUAGGUUAGAAUAGGUACAGAACAAAGAAAGGGCCUUGGACAAUAGUUUAAAUUGGAAAGCAAAGAGCCCAAGGCUCAGGAAGUGUGGAGCUGGCAGCCAGGAGGGUGAGGCCAUCGACCCUGCUGUGGUGGAGUCAAAAGAAAGGCCCUGUGCAUUCACUGUGGCCUUGAGGUGGGAGAAUGAGGCUAUAAAUACAAUGUUCCCAGGGGAGCCCCCAGCCCACAGAGAAGCACUGACUCACAGUCAAAAUGGGGUGCAGGGGGUGGGGAGGCAGUCUGACACACACACUCCCGCCUGCUCUGCAGCUUUUCCCAGGCCUCCUCAGACUCUACAAACUUGUGGCCUAGUUUUCCUGGCAGACUUGUGCUAUGUAAAGUGUCUUAAUGGUUUCCACAGCAACACUCCCUAGGCCAGAAGAAACCGAGCUAAUGGCUGUCAGAGCUGGAGAAGGAGGAGCUAUUCUGAGUCCAGAGAAAACAAACUGGAGGGGCUACAGGUUGUGAAAAGGGAAAUUUUUUUCUGAGCUUUUAAGUCACUUCGGGUAGGAAUAACCCAGUCUCCUAGCAACACUAGGAGAAAGUGGACCUGGUGAAAGCUAUCUAGACAAGCCAUAGAAAGCCCUAUAGCAUGGAACUAGCAAGAAGGAAACAAUCUAACCAGCCUCUGGUCAUAGUCCCUUAAAGCUUUGAGCCACUGGUCACUAUCCUAACUCAGGCCUGCCCAGGGGAGUGAGUCCUUAGCAGGGUGAAUAUCCAGCUCAUCUAAGUCCGAAUAUACUAUAUAUUUACUUAGCCCUUACGAUGCUAAGUGGUUUACAGAGAUGACAUCACUACAUACUCAUAGAACCCUGUGAACAAGAAGAUUCUCAUUAACUGACAGUGCUCAGUCCUUCAGGAUGAUUCUCCUGUGCCUUGUCCUAUUUCUACCACGGUGCUUGUCACAGGCAAUGAAGCUGCCCAUUACUGCCUGUUUUGCCCAUCAUUGUGUCAACUCAGAGUAGAAAUCAUGCUGGAUUGUACAGGGUGCUUAAUUUUAAACAACUUGAUCAAAGGUUUUACCCCUGUUGGGCAAAUGGAAAUGUGCUCUUGGCUUACAGAACAGUGAGGCCUCUUGCUGGAGUUACAGUGUGAAUAGCUCAAUAGCUCAAGGAACACAAAUCUCUCCACCAGCAACUACAGAUCCCACCUCCUCUUUGUGGCCUCCCAGUUCCCAGGCCACCCUCUUUGAUGGUCCAGCUGUUCAGCUGCGUCCAGCUCCUAAAUGACAAGAGUCCCCGUCCUAUAUCAUUGGCUAACUUCUGAGAGAAAUGACUAAGAGAGAAGACACAUCUACUAACUCCCUCUGCUCUGGAAGCUCCUGGAAGAUGCAGCACAGAGCCAGGGACAAAAUAAUUUCAACAGAGUAGGAGGAGAAUCCUGGCUGACAUCUAAGCUGUGACAGAGAGAAGGUAAUUAAAACUGGAUGGAGUAGGGGCUGGGGAUUUGGCUCAGUGGUAGAGCGCUUACCUAGGAAGCGCAAGGCCCUGGGUUCGGUCCCCAGCUCCGAAAAAAAAAAAAAAAAAAAAAGAACCAAAAAACUGGAUGGAGUCUCACCCAUUUUUAAAAUCUAAAAGCCAUUCACAUCUGCCUUUUGUUUUGGUUUGUGCCUGCAGAACCUCCUUUCUAGAUACAGCAUAUUUGGGAAGGGAAGGACAGAGGAAAAUGGCGAAGGAUGCUAGGAAAACAUCCCUGGGAGCCACAGAGCUACUGGCGGUCCACAGACUUCCUAUUAUCACUAAGGCAAUGAGUAUGGCAACCUUAUUCCAUGCCUACAUGUGCACGCGCGCACACACACACACACACACACACACACACACACACACACACACACACACACACUCUUUUUCUUGGUUGCCUUUCUCUUUAACUAACGCUGUGGCUAUUUUAAUCUGAUUCCAUCUGCAGGGAGGGAGUCAGUGUGACAGAGGUGACAGAUUCAGAUCUCCCACUUCUGCCAGAUGGCCCCACCCUUCUAGAGAGACAGUUCAGUGUAGGCUGCAGAAGCAGUAGGGGGCAGGGCUGUUAUACUGCAGCCCCAUUCCCUUAGACUACUCCCAAGUUCCGGAAGCAGCGCCGGAAGAUUACACAUACUGCAGUUAUGCAGAAGGCAGCUGACAGGAGGGGUGGGGGCACGGGACUCCUUGAUUCCAACCCUGUGCACCACAUAGCAUAGCAUUGCUCUCAAACCCUCGGGAGCAAGGACAAUGGCCAGGCUGCUGUGGCGUGCCUCCUGCCAGGCUCAGGAGCAGUUACCACAUUCGAUCUGUUUUGUGUUAUUUCACCUUGUUCUCCUAAAUGCCAAAGCUAAUUAGACUUCCGGUCAAUGCACUGAAGCAACACACACCCUGGGUUGCCUGACUCUCUGUAGUUCAUUAGUGCAGUACUCCUGAAGCUUGGCUGAAGUAACACCCCUCCCCCACCAAAAAAAAGGCAACCCAGACCAGAGCAAUUGGAUCAGAAACGGGGGAGGGAGCCCAGGAAGCUUUCAAGGAUCUUUAAGUGAUUUCAAUGUGAGGCAAAUAAUAAAAACACAUCUGUAGUUUUUACCUCCCUCCCCCCCAACACACACACAUGCCCAUCUUAUUUGGUUCAUGGUGUUUAGGCCUCCUCCAUUUAUUUUUACUUGUCUUCCUCUGCUCAGAUGCAGUCUCUGGAGGCUGUGCGUGCACACCUGAGCCCCGAUGGUUCACUGCCAUGCCCAGCAGCGGCCUACCAGCUCCAACCCCCGAAAUCACCUCUUGGCAUCUGCAUCCCCACAUGAUUUGAGAUGUCUGUCGCCCAAGCAUCUGAGCUGCCUUGUCCCUUUUCUGCUUCAUUCUCUUGAAAAAGUGCAACUACAAAAGGGUGACCCACAAAACCCC
rnacentral:sRNA from 1 species